rnacentral:rRNA from 1 species
UACGUAGGUGGCAAGCGAUACUCGGAAUCACUAGGCGUAAAGCGCAGGUAGGAGGUUUGGAAAGUCUCUUGUGAAAGCUCCCGGCUUAACUGGGAGAGGUCAAGGGAAACUACUAGGCUAGAGUGCGGUAGAGGUAGCUGGAAUUCCCGGUGUAGCGGUGAAAUGCGUAGAUAUCGGGAGGAAUACCUAUGGCGAAAGCGGGCUACUGGACCGUCACUGACUCUGAUCUGCGAAAGCUAGGGGAGCAAACAGG